CCGCCCGACACCGCAUCACCUGAUCACUGAUGGCUCAACGGUAUCCGGCGGCACAACUCAAUAUCACAGCUGCCUUUUGAGCGGGUUAGCUGCAAUCCGAAACGGAGAACUCCGUUAGGACUGCGGUUAGGUCUUACACCCUUUUUGCGGCAGCGCC
rnacentral:ncRNA from 1 species